AGCGAACGCUGGCGGCAGGCCUAACACAUGCAAGUCGAGCGCCCGUAGCAAUACGGGAGCGGCAGACGGGUGAGUAACACGUGGGAACGUACCCUUCGGUUCGGAAUAACCCAGGGAAACGUGGAUUAAUACCGGAUACGUCCGUAAGGAGAAAGAUUUAUCGCCGAAGGAUCGGCCCGCGUCCGAUUAGCUUGUUGGUGGGGUAAUGGCCCACCAAGGCUACGAUCGGUAGCUGGUCUGAGAGGAUGAUCAGCCACACUGGGACUAAGACACGGCCCAGACUCCUACGGGAGGCAGCAGUGGGGAAUAUUGGACAAUGGGCGCAAGCCUGAUCCAGCCAUGCCGCGUGGGUGAUGAAGGCCCUAGGGUUGUAAAGCCCUUUCGGCGGGGAAGAUAAUGACGGUACCCGCAGAAGAAGCCCCGGCUAACUUCGUGCCAGCAGCCGCGUAA
rnacentral:rRNA from 1 species